rnacentral:rRNA from 1 species
ACUAGUAUGAAUGGUUUGACGUGGGUUAACCUGUCUCUAUUAUCAUUGACUAUAAAUUAAUCUUAAAGUGAAAAAGCUUUAAUAUCUUAAAAAGACAAAAAGACCCUAUAGAGCUUUAUUUCCAAUAAAAAGAAUACCCGCUUAUCCUUAAAAAGAAAUUUGGUUGGGGCAACCAGAGUUAUUAAUAACUCUCAUUCAAAUAACAAAUCAGUAAAAUUUUAUCACCUUUUAGCAUAAAAAAUCAAGUUACCUUAGGGAUAACAGCGUUCUCCUCUUUUAGAGCUCAAAUCGAAAAGAGGGUUUAC